GCUCUAGUGGCACAGUGGUAAGAGCAUCCACUUUGGAAGCGGGAUUUCGCGGAUUCGAACACCGGCAGAGUA